AAGCGCGAAGGUCUGUGACAGGAAAUAGAAUCGCGAUUUAGUCUAACGUCAAAAUUGCAACGUUUCGCAGAACAAAACAGCAGCUUAUUGAUUUCUGUGUCAGUCUUACGUCUGUCAUGAGAAGUUUUAAUUAGAAGUUUCGAAUUUCCUUUCGCUCAAAUUUUGGAAGAAAGUGUUUGGAGAGAUUUAAGCAGCUCGCUCCCCAAUAACUAGAGAGGUUGGCUUUAACGUGUUCAAGAUGUCGGAUCUAUACGCAUUCGACAAGAAUGCGGGACAAUCGUUACGAGCGUUUGUUGUACGCGUCGCGCGUCACGUGGGGAAUAGGCCACGCUCGUAGGACCCCCGAUUCGUGGCACGUAAAAGCUGGAAACGAAGCGGAGGGAAUGGGAAAGAAGAAAAGACGACCAAGUCUCAAGGAAGAGGGCACGUCGCUGUUCCGCGGCUAGAAGACGGAAUGCCACUCACCAGCGAACCCGUCGGACUACUAAUGACACCCCUCUCUCUCUCUCUCUCUCUCUCUCCUCCUCCUCCUCCUCCUCCUCGCUAUUCUUCGAGCCUCAUCGAGCAUUCAAAUCCCGCAUUUUCGUCCUAAUUACACCGAGCGUAAGCAGCUAACGCAGCACCGCUGAGCUUCGACUCGAUCCUGAGCUUCCGCAUCGUCUACGAGAUUCGCGCCGAGAUGCUCCGGAAUUUCUCCGAGCGUGACGAAUUAGAUCCAAGUUUAAUAACAUACCAACUCGUGGAUUCCGUAACUAGCGCGAUAUUACCUGCGAACUGUUUAUUCACG